CCUGGUAGUUCAGUUGGUUAGAAUGCCAGCCUGUCACGCUGGAGCAGCUGACUUGUAAUCAGCAGGUUGUAGGUUCGAUUCCUAUCACCAGCUCCA
rnacentral:tRNA from 1 species